rnacentral:rRNA from 1 species
UGCAGUCGAACGAUCCUACCGAGCUUGCUCGGGACGGAUAGUGGCAGACGGCUGAGUAACACGUAAGUGAUCAACCCCGAAGCGGGGAAUAAUCUCGAGAAAUCGGGCCUAAUACCCCGUACGCUUUAGGGAAAAAGAUAACCCUAAAGGAAAGAUUUAUCGCUUUGGGACGAGCUUGCGGCCUAUCAGGUAGUUGGAAGGGUAAUAGCCUACCAAGCCUAUAACGGGUAACCGGUGUGAGAGCACGAUCGGUCAGAGGGGGACUGAGACACGGCCCCCACUCCUACGGGAGGCAGCAGCAGGGAAUAUUGCGCAAUGGGCGAAAGCCUGACGCAGCGACACCGCGUGGGGGAUGAAGGCUUUCGAGUCGUAAACCCCUUUUCUCAGGGAAUAGCAAGGAAGGUACCUGAGGAAUAAGCAUUGGCUAACUACGUGCCAGCAGCCGCGGUAAUACGUAGGAUGCGAGCGUUGUCCGGAUUUACUGGGCGUAAAGGGUGAGUAGGCGGUUUUUCAAGUCCUGUGUGAAAUCUCUCGGCUCAACUGAGAGGGGUCAUAGGAAACUGGAAAACUAGAGUUCAGCAGAGGAAAGCGGAAUUUCCGGAGUAGCGGUGAAAUGCGUAGAUACCGGAAGGAACACCAGAGGCGAAAGCGGCUUUCUAGGCUGUAUCUGACGCUGAGGCACGAAAGCAUGGGGAGCGAACCGGAUUA